AGUGAACGCUGGCGGUAGGCCUAACACAUGCGAGUCGAACGGCAGCACAGUAAGAGCUUGCUCUUACGGGUGGCGAGUGGCGGACGGGUGAGGAAUACAUCGGAAUCUACUUUUUCGUGGGGGAUAACGUAGGGAAACUUACGCUAAUACCGCAUACGACCUACGGGUGAAAGCAGGGGAUCUUCGGACCUUGCGCGAUUGAAUGAGCCGAUGUCGGAUUAGCUAGUUGGCGGGGUAGAGGCCCACCAAGGCGACGAUCCGUAGCUGGUCUGAGAGGAUGAUCAGCCACACUGGAACUGAGACACGGUCCAGACUCCUACGGGAGGCAGCAGUGGGGAAUAUUGGACAAUGGGCGCAAGCCUGAUCCAGCCAUACCGCGUGGGUGAAGAAGGCCUUCGGGUUGUAAAGCCCUUUUGUUGGGAAAGAAAAGCAGCAGGUUAAUACCCCGCUGUUCUGACGGUACCCAAAGAAUAAGCACCGGCUAACUUCGUU
rnacentral:rRNA from 1 species